UCCUACGGGAGGCAGCAGUGGGGAAUAUUGCACAAUGGGGGAAACCCUGAUGCAGCGACGCCGCGUGAGUGAUGAAGUAUUUCGGUAUGUAAAGCUCUAUCAGCAGGGAAGAUAAUGACGGUACCUGACUAAGAAGCCCCGGCUAACUACGUGCCAGCAGCCGCGGUAAUACGUAGGGGGCAAGCGUUAUCCGGAUUUACUGGGUGUAAAGGGAGCGCAGACGGUGGAUUAAGUCUGAAGUGAAAACCCUCGGCUCAACUGAGGGAUUGCUUUGGAAACUGGCUCACUUGAGUGCUGGAGAGGUAAGCGGAAUUCCUGGUGUAGCGGUGAAAUGCGUAGAUAUCAGGAAGAACACCGGUGGCGAAGGCGGCUUACUGGACAGUAACUGACGUUGAGGCUCGAAAGCGUGGGGAGCAAACAGGAUUAGAUACCCUGGUAGUCC
rnacentral:rRNA from 1 species